UAAGAAAUUAUCCGAUCGGGUUGAGGGUAAGAUGAUAACAAGGUCAAAACUGGUUGAGCAGCUGAGGGAUUACCAGAUCAGAUCUCAACACAAGUGUCCUCCUCUUACUUUCUUUUCCCCCAACCUUCAUCUCCACAAUUGGGCUGAUGUUGCAGUUGCUGUGUUCUGCGCCUUGCUAUUUGGUGUGCUUAUAUUAUCAUCAUAUGUGGCCCUUUAUUUACAGCAUUACUGGAGUUCCUUUCUCAUUAUAAGCCUUGCCAUUACCCUUCCAGUGCGGUUGAGAAUGUUACGACAGGCUCAUGCAAGGAAGAAAGUAAGACAGUUACCUUUGUCUAUGUGAACUUCCAUCUACUUCUGCAAGCACCAAAGGCCGUUUAAGUGAAAGGAAUACCUCUUGCACAAAAGUGCUCUUCGAUUGUAGACAUAAUUCUUUGAUCUUCGUGACAUAGACUGACCAAUCUUCUGCUGUGAAAGAUGGGAUACGCUCUUUGUAUUACUCUUGAUGACCCAUUCACUAAGAAGCAUGAUUAGAGGAUCAAUUAGUUCCCUGUGAAACGAACAACCGGAAUCCAGAGCUCAAGAUUUCAGGCAACAUUAAUUAUUGUAAACUAAGCUUGGUGGGAAAAAAGAUGCUCCAUUCUGGAUAAUUUCCAAGCAGGUGAGCUGAUUGUAGUAAACUUUGAAGCGAAUGUAGGGAUUAACACAUCAUAUCUGAAUGAUCAGAUGAUAGAAGUUGAAUGGUUGAAACGACCUUGGUUCAGGAAUAUUAUACUGAACCGUGUAGGGAAGUUGAGUUCUGUAAGAAAGAUAGCAUUUGUGUUUUCCGUUAAUUAGUAAUUUGUGUUUCAAAUAGAAAUAUUCCAACAUUAGAGGUUUUCGAAGGAAUUUGAUUGCUAUAUAUA